CAGUCGCCGCGGUAAUACGAAGGGUACAAGCGUUACUCGGAAUUACUGGGCGUAAAGCGUGCGUAGGCGGUGAGUUAAGUCUGCUGUGAAAUCCCCGGGCUCAACCUGGGAAUGGCAGUGGAUACUGGCUCGCUAGAGUGUGUCAGAGGAUGGUGGAAUUCCCGGUGUAGCGGUGAAGUGCGUAGAGAUCGGGAGGAACAUCAGUGGCGAAGGCGGCCAUCUGGGACAACACUGACGCUGAGGCACGAAAGCGUGGGGAGCAAACAGGAUUAGAUACCCGCGUAGUCCCUGUCUCUUAUAC
rnacentral:rRNA from 1 species